rnacentral:rRNA from 1 species
CGGACGGGUGAGUAACGCGUGGAAAACCUGCCGUAUACUGGGGGAUAACACUUAGAAAUAGGUGCUAAUACCGCAUAAGCGCACAGCUUCGCAUGAAGCGGUGUGAAAAACUCUGGUGGUAUACGAUGGUUCCGCGUCUGAUUAGCUAGUUGGUGGGGGUAAUGGCCUACCAAGGCAACGAUCAGUAGCCGGCCUGAGAGGGUGAACGGCCACAUUGGGACUGAGACACGGCCCAAACUCCUACGGAAGGCAGCAG